UACGAAGGGGGCUAGCGUUGCUCGGAAUCACUGGGCGUAAAGCGCACGUAGGCGGAUCGUUAAGUCAGGGGUGAAAUCCUGGAGCUCAACUCCAGAACUGCCUUUGAUACUGGCGAUCUUGAGUUCGAGAGAGGUGAGUGGAACUGCGAGUGUAGAGGUGAAAUUCGUAGAUAUUCGCAAGAACACCAGUGGCGAAGGCGGCUCACUGGCCCGAUACUGACGCUGAGGCACGAAAGCGUGGGGAGCAACAGG
rnacentral:rRNA from 1 species